GGUUCGAUGGCGUAGUUGGUUAUCGCAUCUGUCUAACAUGCCAAGGCGCAUACUGCUUUCAUGCGCACAGAAGGUCCUCAGUUCGAGCCUGGGUCGAAUCA